CUUGUUUACUUCAAUGCUGAUCCCUGUUCCAUGUCAUUGUUUUGAGCCUUUGGAAACUCAUUGCCAGGCUGUGAUGUUCUUUGUGGCUUCAAGAUCUAUUUCUGAUCCAAGUGCCAAUCACACUCUAAUCACCCAGCAACAUGGUGCAUCAGAGGCUGAAAAAUAGCUCUCACGCUGGAGUACUCAAAGUCACACUGAAGGACUUGAUUAAAAAAGGAUAUUAAUG